AUCUUCAGGGCGGGGUGUAAGUCCCCACUGGCGGUAUAGUCCGCGACCUGGAGUUUUGAGUUUGCAUGGAAGUGAUGUUCCGUAAGCGGAAUGUCGGCCGGCAUUCUCAGGACGACAGCUGAUCCGGUGAGAUUCCGGUACCAACAGUCACAGUCUGGAUGGAAGAAGAG
rnacentral:ncRNA from 1 species